rnacentral:rRNA from 1 species
AUACUGUGGGGACGAAAGUCUCUGCUUUUAACUAGAUAGCAACUUUCAGCAGUGGAUGUCUAGGCUCGCACAUCGAUGAAGAACGCUGCGAACUGCGAUACGUAAUGCGAAUUGCAGGAUUCAGUGAGUCAUCGAAAUUUUGAACGCAUAUUGCACUUCCGGGUUAGUCCUGGAAGUAUGCCUGUAUCAGUGUCCGUACAUUAAACUUGACUUUCUUCCUUCCGUGUAGUCGGUGGAGGAGAUGUCAGAUGUGAAGUGUCUUGCGAUUGGUCUUCGGACCGGCUGCGAGUCCUUUUAAAUGUACUAAACUGAACUUCUCUUUGCUCGAAAAGUGGUGG